rnacentral:rRNA from 1 species
CACGUAGGCACCAAGCGUUGUCCGGAUUUAUUGGGCGUAAAGAGCUCGUAGGCGGUUCGGUAAGUCGGGUGUGAAAACUUUGGGCUCAACCCAAAGCCUGCACUCGAUACUGCUGUGACUUGAGUCCGGUAGGGGAGUGGGGAAUUCCUGGUGUAGCGGUGGAAUGCGCAGAUAUCAGGAGGAACACCGAUGGCGAAGGCAGGUCUCUGGGCAUUAACUGACGCUGAGGAGCGAAAGCAUGGGGAGCGAACAGG